UGACCAGACUCCUACGGGAGGCAGCAGUGGGGAAUAUUGCACAAUGGGGGAAACCCUGAUGCAGCAACGCCGCGUGAGUGAAGAAGUCAUUCGUGAUGUAAAGCUCUAUCAGCAGGGAAGAAAAUGACGGUACCUGACUAAGAAGCCCCGGCUAACUACGUGCCAGCAGCCGCGGUAAUACGUAGGGGGCAAGCGUUAUCCGGAUUUACUGGGUGUAAAGGGAGCGUAGACGGCGACGCAAGUCUGAAGUGAAAUGCCAGUGCUCAACACUGGAACUGCUUUGGAAACUGUGUGGCUAGAGUGCAGGAGAGGUAAGUGGAAUUCCUAGUGUAGCGGUGAAAUGCGUAGAUAUCACGCAGAACUCCGAUCGCGAAGGCAGCCUACCGGCGCGCAACUGACGCUCAUGCACGAAAGCGUGGGUAUCGAACAGGAUUAGAUACCCUUGUA
rnacentral:rRNA from 1 species